rnacentral:misc_RNA from 1 species
UACAGAGGUCCCGAGCGUUGUUCGGAUUCAUUGGGCGUAAAGGGUGCGUAGGCGGUCUGCUAAGUUUGAUGUGAAAUCCCGGGGCUUAACCCUGGAAUGGCAUUGAAUACUGGCGGACUAGAGUCCCGGAGAGGAAACUGGAAUUUACGGUGUAGCAGUGAAAUGCGUAGAGAUCGUAAGGAAGACCAGUGGCGAAGGCGAGUUUCUGGACGGGUACUGACGCUGAGGCACGAAGGCCAGGGGAGCAAACGGG